GCUCAGGACGAACGCUGGCGGCGCGCCUAACACAUGCAAGUCGAACGGAGUUGUGUUGAAAGCUUGCUGGAUAUACAACUUAGUGGCGGACGGGUGAGUAACACGUGAGUAACCUGCCUCUCAGAGUGGAAUAACGUUUGGAAACGAACGCUAAUACCGCAUAACGUGAGAAGAGGGCAUCCUCUUUUUACCAAAGAUUUAUCGCUGAGAGAUGGGCUCGCGGCCGAUUAGGUAGUUGGUGAGAUAACAGCCCACCAAGCCGACGAUCGGUAGCCGGACUGAGAGGUUGAUCGGCCACAUUGGGACUGAGACACGGCCCAGACUCCUACGGGAGGCAGCAGUA
rnacentral:rRNA from 1 species